AACGAACGCUGGCGGCAUGCCUAACACAUGCAAGUCGAACGAGACCUUCGGGUCUAGUGGCGCACGGGUGCGUAACGCGUGGGAAUCUGCCCUUGGUUCGGAAUAACAGUUAGAAAUGACUGCUAAUUACCGGAUGAUGACGAAAGUCCAAAGAUUUAUCGCCGAGGGAUGAGCCCGGCGUAGGAUUAGCUAGUUGGUGAGGUAAAGGCUCACCAAGGCGACGAUCCUUAGCUGGUCUAGAGAGGAUGAUCAGCCACACUGGGACUGAGACACGGCCCAGACUCCUACGGGAGGCAGCAGUGGGGAACUAUUGGACAAUGGGCGAAAGCCUGAUCCAGCAAUGCCGCGUGAGUGAUGAGG
rnacentral:rRNA from 1 species